rnacentral:lncRNA from 1 species
AUGCUCAAAAUUAUCCAAGCCAGUCUUCAGCAAUACGUGAACUGUGAACUUUCUGAUGUUCAAGCUGGUUUUAGAAAAGGCAGAGGAACCAGAGAUCAAAUUGCCAGCAUCCGCUGGAUCAUGGAAAAAGCAAGAGAGUUCCAGAAAAACAUCUAUUUCUGCUUUAUUGACUAUGCCAAAACCUUUGACUGUGUGGAUCACAAUAAACUGUGGAAAAUUCUGAGAGAGAUGGGAAUACCAGACCACCUGACCUGCCUCUUGAGAAAUCUGUAUGCAGGCCAGGAAGCAACAGUUAGAACUGGACAUGGAACAACAGACUGGUUCCAAAUGGGAAAAGGAGUACGUCAAGGCUGUAUAUUGUCACCCUGCUUAUUUAACUUAUAUGCAGAGUACAUCAUGAGAAACGCUGGGCUAGAGGAAGUACAAGCUGGGAUAAAGAUUGCCGGGAGAAAUAUCAAUAACCUCAGAUAUGCAGAUGACACCACCAUUAUGGCAGAAAGUGAAGAGGAACUAAAAAGCCUCUUGAUGAAAGUGAAAGAGGAGAGCGAAAAAGUUGGCUUAAAGCUCAACAUUCAGAAAACGAAGAUCAUGGAACCUGGUCCUAUCACUUCAUGGGAAAUAGAUGGAGAAACAGCGCAAAGAGUGUCGGACUUUAUUUUUUUGGGCUCCAAAAUCACUGCAGAUGGUGACUGCAGCCAUGAAAUCAAAAGACGCUUACUCCUUGGAAGACAAGUUAUGACCAACCUAGAUAGCAUAUUCAAAAGCAGAGACAUUACUUUGCCGACUAAUGUCUGUCUAGUCAAGGCUAUGGUUUUUCCAUUGGUCAUGUAUGGAUGUGAGAGUUGUACUGUGAAGAAGGCUGAGCACAGAAGAAUUGAUGCUUUUGAACUGUGGUGUUGGAGAAGACUCUUGAGAGUCCCUUCGACUGCAAGGAGAUCUAACCUGUCCAUUCUGAAGGAGAUCAGCCCUGGGAUUUCUUUGGAAGGAAUGAUGCUAAAGCUGAAACUCCAGUACUUGGCCACCUUAUGCAAAGGGUUGACUCACUGGAAAAGACUCUGA